rnacentral:misc_RNA from 1 species
GUACAUUAGUGCUUGCACACAACAAUAAUUUCAUUACAUUUGAGUUGGUGUAAAAAUCCUCAGCCAGCCGAAGUGAGCAAGAGGCCAGAGGUUCACAGGGUAUUGGAUGAAAGUCACCAACAUGCACUUGCCAGAGCCAGCACAGAAGGCAAUGAUUCACAGUCAAUAAUGAUCCUUCCGCAGGUUCACCUACAGAAA